rnacentral:rRNA from 1 species
GGAGGCUACUGCUAUCGGGGUUCGAUUAAGCCAUGCGAGUUAAAUGUUCUUCGUGAACAUAGCGAACUGCUCAGUAACACGUGGAUAACCUACCCUUAGGACCGGAAUAACCCCGGGAAACUGGGGAUAAUACCGGAUAAGCCAUAGACGCUGGAAUGCCCUAUGGUUCAAAGCUCCGGCGCNUAAGGAUGGAUCUGCGGUCUAUCAGGUUGUAGUGGGUGUAACGUACCUACUAGCCGACGACGGAUACGGGUUGUGAGAGCAAGAGCCCGGAGAUGGAUUCUGAGACACGAAUCCAGGCCCUACGGGGUGCAGCAGGCGCGAACACUUUACAAUGCGGGAAACCGCGAUAAGGGAACCCCGAGUGCCAGCAUCAAAUGUUGGCUGUCCAGAUGGUUAAAAAUCAUUUGUUAGCAAGGGCCGGGCAAGACCGGCGCCAGCCGCCGCGGUAACACCGGCGGCCCGAGUGGUAGCCGUUUUUAUUGGGUCUAAAGGGUCCGUAGCCGGCCUGAUAAGUCCUUUGGGAAAUCUGACAGCUUAACUGUCAGGCUUCUAAGGGAUACUGUCAGGCUUGGGACCGGAAGAGGUAAGGGGUACUCCAGGGGUAGGAGUGAAAUCUUGUAAUCCCUGGGGGACCAUCUGUGGCGAAGGCGCCUUACCAGAACGGGUCCGACGGUGAGGGACGAAAGCUAGGGGAGCAAACCGGAUUAGAUACCCGGGUAGUCCCAGCCGUAAACGAUGUUCGCUAGGUGUCAGGGACGGUGCGACCGUUUCUGGUGCCGUAGGGAAGCCGUGAAGCGAACCACCUGGGAAGUACGGCCGCAAGGCUGAAACUUAAAGGAAUUGGCGGG